rnacentral:rRNA from 1 species
AUUGAACGCUGGCGGCAGGCCUAACACAUGCAAGUCGAGCGGAUGAAGGGAGCUUGCUCCUGGAUUCAGCGGCGGACGGGUGAGUAAUGCCUAGGAAUCUGCCUGGUAGUGGGGGAUAACGUCCGGAGACGGGCGCUAAUACCGCAUACGUCCUGAGGGAGAAAGUGGGGGAUCUUCGGACCUCACGCUAUCAGAUGAGCUUAGGUCGGAUUAGCUAGUUGGUGGGGUAAAGGCCUACCAAGGCGACGAUCCGUAACUGGUCUGAGAGGAUGAUCAGUCACACUGGAACUGAGACACGGUCCAGACUCCUGCGGGAGGCAGCAGUGGGGAAUAUUGGACAAUGGGCGAAAGCCUGAUCCAGCCAUGCCGCGUGUGUGAAGAAGGUCUUCGGAUUGUAAAGCACUUUAAGUUGGGAGGAAGGGCAGUAAGUUAAUACCUUGCUGUUUUGACGUUACCAACAGAAUAAGCACCGGCUAACUUCGUG